UGGGGAAUCUUGCGCAAUGGGGGAAACCCUGACGCAGCGACGCCGCGUGCGGGAUGAAGGCCUUCGGGUUGUAAACCGCUUUCAGCAGGGACGAGGCCUGAUGGUGACGGUACCUGCAGAAGAAGCUCCGGCUAAAUACGUGCCACCAGCCGCGUUAAUACGUAUGGAGCAAGCGUUAUCCGGAUUCAUUGGGCGUAAAGCGCUCGUAGGCGGUCUGUUAGGUCGGCAAGUUAAAUCCGGGGGUUCAACCCCCGUCCGCUUCCGAUACCGGCAGACUUGAGUUUGGUAGGGGAAGGUGGAAUUCCUAGUGUAGCGGUGGAAUGCGCAGAUAUUAGGAAGAACACCGGUGGCGAAGGCGGCCUUCUGGGCCAUAACUGACGCUGAGGAGCGAAAGCUAGGGGAGCGAACAGG
rnacentral:rRNA from 1 species